UACGUAGGGCGCAAGCGUUGUCCGGAAUUAUUGGGGCGGUAAAGAGCUCGUAGGCGGUUUGUCGCGUCUGCUGUGAAAACUCGGGGCUUAACCCCGGCUGCAGUUGGGUACGGGCAGACUAGAGUGCGGUAGGGGAGACUGGAAUUCCUGGUGUAGCGGUGAAAUGCGCAGAUAUCGGGAGGAACACCUAUGGCGAAGGCAGCUCGCUGGGACGUUACUGACGCUGAGACGCGAAAGCGUGGGGAGCAAACAGG
rnacentral:rRNA from 1 species